rnacentral:lncRNA from 7 species
GAGUGCACCAGCAGCUCCCCAGGAAGCUGAGGAGAGGCACUGCAAAGUGCCGCAGAUCUGCCCAGCCCAGGAACCAGCUGGAUGGGCUCUGCUGCCAAAAUCCAGCACUGCCCAAACACAGACUGAUGCAGAAAUUACUCCAGCUAUCCAGGCUGCUUCCAGUAACUCUAGGAAAGAGCCCAGGGAUUCCUCCUGGGGAAAUCAACUCAACUGCCUUCCCCCAUCGAGUCACCUUCCUUGGGGAGCCAGGCUAGCAGUGUCAGGCCUGUGUAUGCACCUGACAUACAGCCCAGAGCUGCCAAGCAGCUAGUUGGAAAUGCUGGAGUAGUUUUAAGGUUCUCAGUGUGACAUACGUCUUUAGAAAGAAGCCCUUCAGCCUUUGUCUGGAAACAGAUUGAGAUACUGGGCAAACCUAAACUGCUUCUUCAGUAUUCCCUCACCAUGGUAAUUUAGGACUCCGAUGUAUCAAGAAAGAAAACCCUGGCAGUCUCAGCUCUUUGAGGACUUCAAGUUCUGACAGCCACGAUGACAUGGUGAAGCAGCACCACAGCAUUUUGCACCCAGACCCCAUCAAAAUACGACAAGCUGACCCUGACAAAGCCUCCAGCAACAGCCAUCACAAGCUUGCAACAUCAUAUAGUUGAUCCAGCUAAUAAGGAUGCCUUUGUUGAAGACUGAAGAAAGAAGACUGAAGAAAGACUUACAGAAGAAAGAUACUGAAGUGUUCCUUUGGAUAAAUUCCUUCUUUCCUACCUUUAACAGUAACUCCAUUUAACGUGCUCCUAUCAGACCUUAGAUCACCCACAGCACUCUCAAGAAACAACAGCUUGUAACACUUAAAGGGAAGUCAAGAAUUCAGGUUACUUUCUUAAGUACAAACCAUAUCAUACUCGAAUCAAGAAGCCCUGUCACUUAACACUUUCAUGAAUUAUUUAUCGAUGAAAACAACGGGUCUUCUAUCAAACAUAGCAUCUUGCUUAAAACAGCUCUCAUUGAAAUCUGUAAGAGGUCAGUUUGCAAGCAAUAUUACACCGAGGUUUAGCUGCUUUGUAACUUUUUUUCUUCUUUAACCGGAAAUCUGGCAAUUCUAAGUCAGUGCUUAUGGUUAAUGAGAGUGUUGCAGCUUGAGCCUUUCCUCCUGAAUAGUUGCUGAUGACCUGUGUGCACAGAACCAGUCCCUUCUUUAUGCCAAGCACCGCCCAGCUGUGGUCCCAAAUAUUUAACAUGUGAUAUUCAAAACUUACAAUAAUUCUGGAUGGUCAAUCCUGGCAUUACUGUGUUAAUGUUACAGUUGUAACAAUCUUCUUUUGGUACAUUCAAUGAGCUUAAUGCAUUGCUAUGUGGAAGUAUUUAUUAAUAAAUCCAUUCCACGUUUGACGUU